CAUACAGAGUGGUAGAAUGUUCUAACAAUGUUCACUUUGGAUUAUUCUGAUGUGGAAAAACACUAAAAUGUGAAUGGAGUUGACAUUCAUUGUUGUUUACCUGUUUGUUUGUACACAUAUUUAAUUGAUUAUCUUGAAGAAAUACAAUGAAUCUGGAAAACUUCACCUGCACUGUUACAAUAUGAAGGGAAUCAUUGUUACAUGGAGCCGUUAUAUCCCUAAUAACAAAUGCAUUUUUUAUGUGGAUGAUAUUUUUCUGUUAAAACUACUAAUGUUUUGACUCUUUUCUACAGAUAUAAGAAGUUGUGGAGAAGACAACAUCUGGCAGCUAAUGAAAAAGUCAAACUACGUUACCAAGGAUGGGAACGCUCCUCUGCACCUCUUUCCUCUAGAAGUCUGGCCAUGUGUGAUCCAAAAGUAACACCGGAGGAGAUCAGCCCUCUCCAGCUGGAGUUACAGACCCUCACGGCCUCCUUCAAGGAUUUGGGUUACUCAGAGAGAGGUCUACUUAAGCUGGGCCCUCAGUCUGCUGGAGGCCGAAGAUAAGAGGUUGUUGGGAGCAACAAGAAGAAAUUCAAAGAGGAGUUUGGCCGGGAUGCAGACCAAAAGCUGUUGAACCUACGCAGACCUGAUGAUCACCACGUCACCAUCUUUGCUGGGGUGUCCACUGUGAGAAACACACCUCUGACAUCAUCAUCUCAUCUCCAUUGAGGCUGCACGCCGUUCUGAGAGCAUAAGGAGAAAAGAAGCGACUUAGACUUUCUGUCAUCCAUGGAGCUGCUGGUGGUGGAUCAGCCAGACAUCUUCCUCAUGCAGAACUGGGAACACGUCCUGGUUCUCCUGUCCAUUUGCCUUGACGUGCCAAUUGAGAUCAGUGGACUUCUGGAAGGCCUGCAUGUUCCUGUUUUCAGAUGGAAGAAGGAGAAUGCUUCUAAAAUGGAUGUCGAUUUUUUUCUUGAAUACAUAAAAGAAUUCCUAGUUUCUUGAAAUAAUAAAACACUUGCUAAAAUGUGAGUCUGGUCUUAUUGUAAUUCUCUUCAAUUGUUAAAUGAGCGUACAGAAAUCUGCUGCACUGAAUAACUUUAUAUACUUAGCCUAAAAGAUGACUGUGUUCUGCUUAUUUUUAUUUUGCUUUUUUAUACGUUUUAGUUUGAAGAAUGAUCAGAAGUGAUACUGAAAUAUAAUACUUCACUUGCAUGUCCUUUGAAAGUAAUGGCACUUUAUACUGCUGCUUAAAUGCAGCACAUUUUAAAAUAGUUUAAAGCAAAUGAGUCAGAAUUAUAGGUUUUAAAAUAACCUACUACCUAAUAAGAUGGACAAUAAACAUUUGAACUCUUUCAAAUUUAAUACUUAGAAGUGUUCUGAAUUGUAAAAUAUUUUAUUAAAGCUUAAAAAUUAGAAUAAAUGGUAAGUCGCAUCAUAUUCAGACAGAGGUCUCCAGUUAAACAAAAACAUUUAUUUUUUCUGACAAAGUAGGGUUAAAAUGUAUUGUCCAUUCAUCUAAUUGUAUUUUUACAUUAUAUAUUUUUGGUUAUGCUUGAAAAUGUCACAAAAACCUAAUUUUAAAUACAAUAUAACUAUUAUUUAUGUUUUAAAAACCCAUACCUUGUGGAUGCUACCUUGUGCAUUACAUGAGGGAAGGAGCAUCCAUUUUGUGAAGUUUACAUGCUAGAGGAUUUUUAAAGUAAAUAAUGGUGCUAAAUUAUUCACAUUAAAUCAUUAAAAUGGUGUUAAUAAAUCUCACAGAUGCCCUUUUUUAAACAUAAAGCAAUGCUGAGUUAAAGUUUGUUUAAAGUCAAAUGGAGGAAAGUGUGGUUGUCGUUCUUUUUUGUAAUUUUCCAUUGCGUCAGAGGGGGGCUGCGUGGUGUGACCGGGCGUGGCUGCCUGUGAUUGGCUGAGACUGCGUGAACCAUCUCAGGACGAAGCUCGUCGGCCCCCUUCUCACUGUUUGCCUUGGACGAACCGGACGGUUUUUUCCAGCCUUCUGUGAGAAAGGAUUUUCCUUGGAUUUGCAUCGAGCGAAGCGGCUGUUUUUGCCAUCGGAGGAUUUCUUCUGCCUGGAGGACACUCGGACCAAACAGAAUAUACUUUUAUCUCUGUUUUUACCCCGUAAGUAGUCCUUCAGCACCCCAUCCCCCAUCUGUAGGAGCCAUCUUUGCCCCGGAGUGAACAUCUAGCCGUCGAGGUAAGUAUUUUGUUUUGCCUAAAAACUCAAAAGUAUUUCGUAAAACAAUGUUUGUGCUUGUUGAUACUCGUGCUACUGUGAAAGUAAGUGUUACAUUUGUCGAAUUGACGGUGAUUUUCAUACGAGUUUGCUUCGUGGUGGAUUAGCUUAACAUCAAAGGACUGUGCCGUCUUUUUGUGAAGCUAGCUAGCUUAAGCCUUGAGUUUCACCGAUGAAUCUGCUUAAAGUCCAGCUUUGUUGUUCUUGCUGUGUUUUCCCGCGGGCUGUACACUGGAUGUGAUUAUGUUUUAGGCUCGUUUUGCUUGGGGAACAUCGAUUUGAAAUUGGCUAGCAGAAGGGUGCUCUGUGGCUACCGAGCAUGCUAACCGUCCUGAUAGGGGGUUGGGGUGUUCAGAUCUCACUGGCUUUUAACUCGAGUGAUAUCUAGUGGGCCAUCCUGUUAGCUUUUCCUGUUUUUAUGUCACGUUUUUCUUUCAUUGGUCAUCGCUGUUUUUUUUUUUAAAGCAUUAUUUAAAAGUACUGCAAUAACAUCAGAUAUGGGAGCAGCUCUGGUCAAAAAAGAAGCUCUGUUUGAGUGGAUUCCUUAUUUUGAAGCUGAAUAUUGGCCUGUGAGAAUCUUUUAACCUAAUUGGGUAGAUAAUAAUGGCAAUGUUGGCUACUUUUUAGGAUGUAAACUUUGUGAUUAUUGUUUGUGAACAAAAUGGCUGCAUGGUGGUUAACUCUGGAAGUGGACAGAAUAGUUGUUUGCAUUUUCUGUGGGUUUUCUCCAGCUUCCCACUGUUCAAAAUCAUGUUUCAUGGGUUAACUGUUAUCUGUAAAUUGUACCUGGAUGUGAGUUUUUGAGGCUUUUGACAGACUGGCAACCUGCUGAGGGCAUACUGCUGCAAUGUGAUGGUUUUUAUGUGUUGUGUUGAUUUAUGUUCAUCUAUUUUAGACACUUGUGCACAUGUCAAAAUGAUGGUUUUUAUAAUUACAAAUGAACCCUGGGCCACAGUGAUGUGUUUUUACACCAGAAUCCUAUUGCUUUUAUUGUAACUGUGAAAUUUAGCGCUAAUUUUUUACUCAAAUUGGUACUCUGGCAAAUGCUUUUUUCUUUUCCUGUCUUUCUGUCAUUGACUUUAUUUAAUGCUGACUCUUACACGUACUUUUAAAAUGCCUUUUCCUGGGAGCUGGGGCAUUAUUUCAAUUGAAGGGUAAUUUAGGCAAACGGUCACUAAAACAUUAUUAUAAUAAAGGCACAGUCAGAAGAUUGUCUAGCUUAAUGCUGCAGCUUUGUAUGUUUUCAACAUGCAUGUCGAAAUGAUUAAUUCCUAUCAAGCAUGUGGCAUAUGUUAACGUUUGUUAUAAGGCUACUUACACAUACAUUGUAUAAGCGAUCAAGAUCAUUCAUUAAAUUGGGGGGGGGGGGUUGCUGUGCUUUCCGUUGCAGUCUGCAAAUGUAAAAUUCUAACAUCAUGAAAUAUUUUUUUAAGGAUAAUAAAGUUGCAUAAAUGUGAUUCAAAAAGGUUAUGAACCAUGUUUUUGGUGUCCUAAUUUCUUAAUUCCUAACAUGAUUACUUUUUAGAUGAAAGCAAAUGCUGCUAUUUAGGAUUCCAUAGUCGUGAAAUACAGCACUCUCACUGGGGUAGAAGGGGGGUUCUGCUCGCAUCAGCUCUGUAAUGUGUAUUUAUGUUGUAUUUCUAUAGAAUGUUGAGACUAUAGCAUGAGGAAUGGAAUGUCCUUUGUAUAUAGAGAAAAUGAACUCUUAUUUGUGGGUGCAUAAUUGUUGAUUUGUCUUUAAAUAAGGAUUUGUGAAUGUGUAUUCUUGAUUUGUACGUGCGUAAUUUUGGUUUUGUCCCGAACUUUGGAUUUCUGUGUGCAUAUUCUUGAUUUCUAACUGACAUGUUUUGUGCAUUUGUAUAAAAAAACAAAUUUAUAAAAAUAUAAAAUAAAAUGUAAGUUAUGUAAAUGUAGGUUUCAAUCAUAUUUUGUAUUUCUUCUUUUUUUUCAUUUUUUUUACCUAUGCACAAAACAUAUUAUGAGUAAAAAGUCAAGAAUAUUCAUGCACAAAUCCAAAGUUAUGCACAAAUCCUAAAUUACGCAUGCAUAAAUCAAGAAUUAUGCACCCACAAAUUGGAGUGAUUCUAUUUUCUCUCCAUGGUUGUGAGUUAUCGUACAAAAUUAUGUUCUGCUGUCUUUGUUGUGUUUAAAAGCUUUUUUUGACACAGUCUAAACAGCCCUGCCCUGCUUCUUUUGUGAGUACUUGGAUCUGACACAAUAGAGGCAUUAUUAUGCACCUGCCUGAUUAUUUUUUAUGCUAAAUGUUUUCUUUUUCUUUUUUCUUUCCUGUUUUUUUUUUGUAUGCGUUUAUGAUCUUUUAUGCAGAUGGCGAGGGGCAAGGCGCACCGCAGGAACCGGGCCAGGAACUUCCGCCCCAUGGACCGGUCCCCCGUCGGCCAUCCAAGCCCGAGUGCUCCGAGCUCUCGCUCCGGCACUGGGAUUAGGCAUCCCGUACGGAGAUGGCCCGUCUCUGCUGCCACCGGGAAGUCCCACAAAUGCCUUGUUCCGCCUGAGUCUCCCGGGGAGAAGUUCGUCCUGGUGGUCGGAGACUCCCACCUUCGUGCCCUGGUGGACGGGAUCGUCCGGAUGCCUGCGGGUGGGGGCGUGACCUUCGGGUUCAUGUCCACACCUGGCGCCAGUGCAGCGGAGCUGUACACCGAGGUCAGUCACGCAAGCAUUUCUCGUACCCCCGAUCUCGUGUGUCUUCUCGCCCCCAGCAACAACCUGACGGCGAGCCGGACCCUUCCUGAGGCGGCCCAGGACUUCCGGCAGCUCCUGACCCUGCUCCAGUCCAAGUGGUCCAAGCUCUUCGUCCUGGACUUCCCGCCCCGCCUGACCGUGCCCGAGGACCUGCAGACCUUCCUGCGCCAGGACUUCCACAGGGUGGCGGCACAGAUGGGCAUUAAGUACCUUUCUGUUGCUGAGCACUUCAGCUUGGACCGCUUGGCCUUGUGGGCCCGCGAUGGGGUCCACCUGAGUGAUGAUGGAGGGAUGGUCGUGCUGGCUUCCCUGCUCUGGGAGUUCGCCUCCCAGCAGCUGGUGGAGCCAGUCGUCCAGGCGCCUCCUCCUGCGUCGCCCCGGCCUGCCGCCCGGCGAGUCACUCCUAAGGUGGUUGUGAGUGGGCACUCUGUGUCACCUCGUCCAACCAACCCUUUUGAGUGGACUUGCAAGGUUAGUAACCCUAAGGUAUGGAUCAGCUCAUUUCAUACAAAUGAAAUCGUUUUGUCUGUUUUAAACUUGUGAAUGUGUUCAAGGUGAUCGCAGUUUCCUGAAGCCCAGACCAGAAGCAGAACGUGCAGUGCAGGUCGGUGGUCCAGCAGAAGAGUCUGGUAAAAGUGUCUAACAAAGUUUCUCUUUUUUCUCCCCUCUUUUUCUCUACAGAAAGCCAGUCCUUCGGGUGCUGACUGCUCUCCUCUGGCAUCGUGGCGCGGGCGGGGAUUGGAGCAGGUUAGUCAUUUUAAAAAGAAGACUUUAGUGGUCAUGUUUGCAUUAUGUCCAUGUGAUUAAGUGAUAACUGUUUGUUUUUUUCCCUCCACAGGCUGCUUCUAUCCCGGUGUCGCCUGUGCGGUUCAGCCCUGCCAUUCUGGAUUUGUUGGAUAAGUUUUAUCCAUCAGAUCUGGACUGUGCAGGAGCUGACGUGCCUGUUCCCACUGGGAACAAGGUAACUGUUACGUCUUGAUACUCACAGGUUGCACGUAAUUUUUUAACGGCCUCUAAAUCAUUUUUGUCCUGGUAUUUGUGGUUGUUUCUCAGACGUCUCGUGCCAGACGUCGCCAGAGGUCUGUGGCUGCAUCCCAGAGGGCUGCACCAAGGCUCCAGGUAAGAAGACCACACACUGUAGUGUUGUAGAGGUGUAACUUGUGACCACAACAGAUGCGUUUUUUUUUUUAAUUGACACACUUGAUAAAACAUGACUAUGUGUUUUUCUGCUUUUUUAAUAAGGCGGAGGUUCCCGAGCACGUGGAGGUGAAACCCCGGCCUUCACCUGCCAGGCGUGCCAGGAGGGAGAGGGUGCCAGCCCAGGACCAUGUGGAGGUGACACCGAGGUCACCUACCAAGGACGUGGGGAUGGACCGGCCUGUGGACCAGGACCAGCAGCGGGGGCAGCCUGCUUCCCCAGGUAAGAAGAUCAGCAAAGGUAAGAGCUGUUCUCCUUCCUGCAUUUGCUGUCAGGUUCAGCCGCACACGGACCCCAUCAUUACAUUUGGUUUGGACGACGACUGUGAGAUGGUUCCUGCUCCCGCUAGUUUUGUGGUUGUGUCAGACUCCAGUUCAUCAGACUCCGAGGCGGGUGUCACAUUUGGCUCCUCGGAUGUUGAGCUGGAAACAUCUGAAGUUCAGGUUCCUGUUCCUGCUGCUGGUACGUUAAAGUUCAACAGCAUCAGAGGUUCGUUUCAUCAGGGAAAUGAACUGUUUGGUCCGAAUGCUGGGCGGCAGUGCAUGGCCAUCUCUUUGGUCGCUGCUGCCAAACACACUGUUAAAAGUGUGUUUCUGUGGGACAGCAGUGACUUAGAUUCCGUGCUGCUUGCUGGAGAUCAGGUUUACUCUGACCUGCUGAGACAGAACAAGAUCACUGACUCAGCAGGUUUUCUGAGAGUGACUGAUCUGCCAAAUCAAGCAGUGGUAGAUGGAGUUGAGUUAUCGUGUGAGUUUGGGGAAGUGGUUAG